GAUGAACGCUGGCGGCGUGCCUAAUACAUGCAAGUAGAACGCUGAAGGAGGAGCUUGCUCUUCUGGAUGAGUUGCGAACGGGUGAGUAACGCGUAGGUAACCUGCCUGGUAGCGGGGGAUAACUAUUGGAAACGAUAGCUAAUACCGCAUGACAACAGUUAUUGCAUGAUAACUGUUUAAAAGGGGCAACUGCUCCACUACCAGAUGGACCUGCGUUGUAUUAGCUAGUUGGUGAGGUAACGGCUCACCAAGGCGACGAUACAUAGCCGACCUGAGAGGGGGAUCGGCCACACUGGGACUGGGACACGGCCCAGACUCCUACGGGAGGCAGCAGUAGGGAAUCUUCGGCAAUGGACGGAAGGCUGACCGAGCAACGCCGCGUGAGUGAAGAAGGUUUUCGGAUCGUAAAGCUCUGUUGUAAGAGAAGAACGAGUGUGAGAGUGGAAAGUUCACACUGUGACGGUAUCUUACCAGAAAGGGACGGCUAACUACGUG
rnacentral:rRNA from 1 species